ACGGUUAAAAAUGUUCCAGCAAUGUGCUCCCUAAUCACUCUUCAGUCCUGUUGUCCAUUGUGGCUGAUUCCAUUUUCUACAUCCUUGUUCACUGGCUCUUCUGCUUCUUCAUCCGGUUUAUUUAGUUGUAUGCAGAUGUUGUAAAGAAUGCCACAAAGCAUUACUAUUUUGUUUACCUUUUUGGGUUUCAUCCGAAUCUACAAAAGAUAAAACUAAAUUACCAUGCAGGGCUACACAAGAGUGUGUCAUUGAAGAAAGAAUAAGAUGCAUGUAUAGUCGAUGGUUUUUUUU
rnacentral:lncRNA from 1 species